rnacentral:misc_RNA from 1 species
AAGUCGUAACAAGGUUUCCGUAGGUGAACCUGCGGAAGGAUCAUUACAAGUGAGACCACCGAACACCGGUCAAACGGUGGUGAGGCGGUUUACACCCACCCGUGUCUACAUACUCUCGUUGCUUUGGCGGGCCGUGGCCUCCACCGUGGGCUCUGCUCGCGUGUGCCCGCCAGAGGAUCAAACUCUGAAUAUUAGUGAUGUCUGAGUACUAUCUAAUAGUUAAAACUUUCAACAACGGAUCUCUUGGUUCUG